CUAUUGCGCAUGCGUUUUGCGCAUGUAUAUUAGAACUGAAGUAACGCAACAUUCCGCAAACUGCAAAUAUUACACAUUAUAAUAGGAUGUUUGACAAAUAAAAUCAUUAAAAUGAGAUUUAUUUCGGUCUUGCGGUUUUUCUUUUGCAUUUUAAUUUUAAGGGAAACUUGCCCAAAAAACGCCAAAGAGAAAGUGACUAUGGCAGAUUUAUAUUUAUUAAGUGAAGAAAAUAUUAUACAUACGGUCCUGAACAGAGGUCCUUACUUUGAAACUUCUGCUAGCAAAAAUGUUACAUCAUUAGUUGGAAAAACUGGACAUCUUAAUUGUCGCAUAAAGAAUCUUGGAAAUAAAACGGUGUUUGUUUUAAGGUUUUUAAGUCUUUGAAGCGCAUUGGUAAACCAAGGAGGCCUGUUUCCGGAAGAUCUCUUCCGCUGCUGCUUUAUUUUCACUUUCUGGGAAAACCUCUUUGAUCACAGUUCGAGGGCUGCCCGAGCUCAAGCUCCAAUACGCCAGCGGCUUGCUAAUGCUAAAAGGCUAAAGCCAACCAUCUCAUGAGCCAGUAUUAGUCGUCUGGCGUAGGGAUUUUACGGGGCUGGGAGGUCGUAUCCGUCCCCACCAAAUACCGGCAGUCAAGGCAGUCCCAUCUAUUAACGCCCCGGAGGAAUACCGUAGCAGAUUCGAAGCAGAACAGCGAGUCGAUUGACUACCCCCCUAGGAAUCGCGACUGACCCCGGAAGAACAGAGACUCUUCUAACUCUACGUAGCCUUCUAACAAAGAAAAAUAUUUUAAGAGUAGUGGUGGCGGAAUUUAAUAAUUUGUGGAACCCGACCAACACUGAACCGAAAUCAUCGUUGGCCCAUAUAAUCUUUAUUAGUGCAGAUGCCAAAAUAGAGUUUGCAGCUAACAACAACACCGUCUCAUCACUAUCACGCUGGAAGGCCUUUCAACGCUGGAAGUUUAACCAUACUUAUGACUGCUCAAAGAGGAAAUCAGAGGAGGGCGCAAUUUUUCUGCAAUGACUGUUUAAAUUUUUCCGGAACCCAAGAAUCUGCAUAGAAACACAAGACGCUCUGUAGUAAGAAGGUCUCAAAGAUGCCGCACCCCCAGAAUAACACACUGGAAUUUACCCAAGUUCAACAUCAGCUUUAAAAUCCAUUCGUUGUCUACGCUGAUUUUGAAUGCAUUCUGGAACCAAAUAAUCAUGAAAUAAGCCCCAAAUUAUUUAAUAUUAAUGAAUAUAUUCCAAUAUCAUAUGCUUGUUAUAUAAAGUGUGCUUUUGAUUCUAGACUAGAUAUAUUUGCUUGAAGCAGGAACAAAUUCAGGAAUAAGUUUUGUAAAUUCGUUGAUAAAAAAUUUAUCUAAAUUGAGUGAUGAGUACUUACUUAAAAUAGUUCCUAUGAGAAUGACUUUGGAUGACCAGCAAAUAUUUGAUAAUUCAUUAAAUUGUUCUAUUUGUCAGAAAGUUUUAGGGACUGAUAGGGCCAGAGAUCAUUGUCAUUUCACAUGUCGCUUUAGAGGUACAGCCCACUAUAAAUGUAACUUAGAUUAUAAAGUUAACAAAUUCAUACCAGUAUUUUUUCAAAUUUUUCGAAAUACGACUGUCAUUUAAAAACUGUCCCGGUAAAAUUUCCGUAAUACCAACAAAUAAGGAAACCUAUAUUUCUGUUAAAAACAAGAAAGGAAGUUAGCUUCGGCAAGCCGAAGCUUAUAUACCCUUGCAGCUAUAUUUAUUAAAUUUAAAAACACAAAAAAUGAUAUUCCCAAUGGUAUAAGAUAAUAUGUCAAAAAA